GACGUAGGGCGCAAGCGUUGUCCGGAUUUAUUGGGCGUAAAGAGCUCGUAGGCGGCUUGUUGCGUCGGCUGUGAAAACCCGCGGCUUAACCGUGGGCUUGCAGCCGAUACGGGCGGGCUGGAGUUCGGUAGGGGAGACUGGAAUUCCUGGUGUAGCGGUGAAAUGCGCAGAUAUCAGGAGGAACACCGGUGGCGAAGGCGGGUCUCUGGACAGUUCCUGACACUGAGACACGAAGGCCAGGGGAGCAAACGGG
rnacentral:rRNA from 1 species